UACGUAGGGUGCAAGCGUUGUCCGGAAUUAUUGGGCGUAAAGAGCGUGUAGGCGGCCAGGUAGGUCGGUUGUGAAAACUGGAGGCUCAACCUUCAGAGGUCGACCGAAACCAUCUGGCUAGAGUCCGGGAGAGGAGAGUGGAAUUCCUGGUGUAGCGGUGAAAUGCGCAGAUAUCAGGAAGAACACCCGUGGCGAAAGGCGGCUCUCUGGAACGGUACUGACGCUGAGACGCGAAAGCGUGGGGAGCGAACAGG
rnacentral:rRNA from 1 species